CAAGAGGAACGACAAGAGGAACGACAAGAGGAACGACAAAAGGAGCGACAAGAGGAACGACAAAAGGAACGACAAGAUGUUACGCAUGACGUAAAACCAAAGAUGUACGACCCAAGAUAUGUAAAAAAUUUGCAAUAUGAACAAAACGAAUUAAAAAAAAUUAUUUUUUCAGAUGUAACAGACUUAUUAGACAUACUAGAUACCCAAGGCGGUGCUAGCUCGGUGAGUAAGAACAAAAUCGACGAAUCAAUAAAAAAGGAAAAAAAAUGGGGAAAGAAAAAAUGGGGAAGGAAAAAGUGGAGAAGGAAAAAACGGAGAAGGAAAAAACGGAGAAGGAAAAAACGGAGAAGGGAAAAAUUAAAAAAGAUUCUGUUGUACUGGGUACUGUUGCUAGUAAGAAACUACAAUUAAUAAAAGAUGAACUGAAUGAAAAAAAAAAAAAAAAAAAAAAUUAUUUGAUAGUAGAGAAAAAAAUAAUAAAAUAAUAAUUGGAAAUGAAAUUAUGAACAAUAUAAGUGACAAAAAUUAUACAAACAUGGAUUACAACGAAAAUGGAUUAUUUGCUAGCCAUAAAACCAAAAAUGAAAUAUUGGAUGGAAUGGUAGAAAGUAAAAAUAUAUUAAAUAAUCAAAAGGAUGGAGCAUUAGACACGAACGUGUUGGCUAACGAAUUCAAAGAUGAUGGUGAUAAGUUAUAUAAUGGUUUCACCAAAUAUGAUUUUACAAGUGCGAGAGUAAAAAAAUAUGACCAACUAUAUACAGACGUGAAAGGAAGUGUAAAAAUGGUGGAUAAACUUGAGUUGCAAAAGGAAGAGGGCAACGGAUUAUUACAAAACAAUUUGCGCGGCAAACUACAAAAUGAAUUACAAGAUAAGCUCUCUAAACAAAGCAUUGUCCAUUAUGUAUAUACCGAAGACACAAAUAAAAUGAAAACAUUUAUGAAAAUAAGUAAAAAAAGAAACAAAGACAAUUUUUUAAUUUUAUCGAAACCAAACAAAAACAUAUACAAGUUAAUUAAAAAAUUAAAAAUUGAAUUUAUUGAACCAUUUAUAGUGUUAAAAAAAAAUAUAAAAAUAGAAACAAAAUUUUUAUCACCCUUAGGAAAAUUAAUUAAUAAUAAAUUACAAAAUGGUUAUAGUAUUUCUUUUAAACAAAUGUUAGAUUUAACAUUAGAAUAUAUGAUAACGAUAAUAUCUAAAAAUAAUGGAUACGUUUUAUUUUUGAACGAUUAUUAUUUUGAAUAUGUUUAUGAAUUUUUAUUAAAGUUGAAAGCGCUAUCCAAUCUUAAUGAUAUAAAUUAUGUACACUUUUUAAAUUUAAAUUGUUUGAAAAAUAUUAUUGAUGAUGAUGAAGAAAUAGUAACGAAUGAAUUGAUGAUAGAAAAUAAAAACUUAGUUAUGUCGAACUUCUUUAAAAACAUGUUCCCUACUUUUUGUAUCAUUUUGGAAAAUUACAAAACGGAAGGGUUAGAUUAUAACAUAUGUAUACAUGGUUGUCAUUCGGGGGAUACAUACGUGCAUAUAUAUAUAUAUAUAUAUACAUAUACAUAUACAUAUAC
ensembl:lncRNA